UACGAAGGGGGCUAGCGUUGCUCGGAAUCACUGGGCGUAAAGGGUGCGUAGGCGGGUCUUUAAGUCAGGGGUGAAAUCCUGGAGCUCAACUCCAGAACUGCCUUUGAUACUGAGGAUCUUGAGUUCGGGAGAGGUGAGUGGAAUUCCCAGUGUAGCGGUGAAAUGCGUAGAUAUUGGGAGGAACACCAGUGGCGAAGGCGGCUCACUGGACCGGAACUGACGCUGAGGCGCGAAAGCGUGGGGAGCAAACGGG
rnacentral:rRNA from 1 species